rfam:Gossypium arboreum cultivar AKA8401 contig_46483_1, whole genome shotgun sequence.
CAGUUAGGGGAAUGAUGUAUUACUACAGGGCUCUUAAAAUGCUUUCGUUUCUUGAUUCAGCAUCUGAGAUGGACAUACGAAUG